rnacentral:rRNA from 1 species
GACGAACGCUGGCGGCGUGCUUAACACAUGCAAGUCGAACGGAAAGGCCCCCAUCUUGUUGGGGUGGCUCGAGUGGCGAACGGGGGAGUAACACGGGGGUGAUCUGCCCUGUACGUCGGGAUAAGCGUGGGAAACUGGGUCUAAUACCGGAUAGGACCAUGGUUUAUUGUCUCAUGUGGGAAAGAUUAUUGUUUUGGUGCAGGAUGAGCUCGCGGCCUAUCAGCUUGUGGGUUGGGUAAUGGCCUACCAAGGGGUCGACGGGUGGGCGGCCUGGGAGGGUGGACGACCAGACAGAGACGGACAGACGCACGAGCCAGACACGGGCGGCAGGAGUGAGGAAUGUAGAACACUGGGUGGAAGAAUGAUGGAGCGAGGACGCGUGGGGGAUGACGGCCUUCGGGUUGUAAACACCCUUCGUUAGGGACGAAGACAAACUUUUAUCGGGUGUGCAGAAGGUACCCUUGUUAAGAAGCACCGGCUAACUACGUG